GCUGGCGUGGCACAGAUGGUAGCGCAACUGAUUCGUAAUCAGUAGGCCGGGGGUUCGAUUCCCCCCGCUAGCUCCA
rnacentral:tRNA from 1 species